AUUGAACGCUGGCGGCAGGCCUAACACAUGCAAGUCGAGCGAGCGGCGGACGGGUGAGUAAUGUAUGGGGACUGCCCGUUAGAGGUGGAUAACUACUGGGAACGGUAGCUCAUCCCCCGUACUAUUGAGUAACCCCUAUGGGAUUAGCUGGUAGGUGAGGUAAUGGCGCACCUAGGCGACGAUCCCUAGCUGGUCUGAGAGGAUGAUCAGCCACACUGGGACUGAGACACGGCCCAGACUCCUACGGAGGCAGCAGUGGGGAAUAUUGCACAAUGGGCGCAAGCCUGAUGCAGCCAUGCCGCGUGUAUGAAGAAGGCCUUAGGGUUGUAAAGUACUUUCAGUCGGGAGGCGUUACCGACAGAAGAAGCACCGGCUAACUCCGUGCCAGCAGCCGCGGUAAUAC
rnacentral:rRNA from 1 species